GACGAACGCUGGCGGCGUGCUUAACACAUGCAAGUCGAACGGAAAGGCCCUGCUUUUGUGGGGUGCUCGAGUGGCGAACGGGUGAGUAACACGUGAGUAACCUGCCCUUGACUUUGGGAUAACUUCAGGAAACUGGGGCUAAUACCGGAUAGGAGCUCCUGCUGCAUGGUGGGGGUUGGAAAGUUUCGGCGGUUGGGGAUGGACUCGCGGCUUAUCAGCUUGUUGGUGGGGUAGUGGCUUACCAAGGCUUUGACGGGUAGCCGGCCUGAGAGGGUGACCGGCCACAUUGGGACUGAGAUACGGCCCAGACCCCUACGGGGGGCAGCAGUGGGGUAUAUUGCACAAUGGGCGGAAGCCUGAUGCAGCAACGCCGCGUGCGGGAUGACGGCCUUCGGGUUGUAAACCGCUUUCGCCUGUGACGAAGCGUGAGUGACGGUAAUGGGUAAAGAAGCACCGGCUAACUACGUG
rnacentral:rRNA from 1 species